UUUAUCGAUUUGGAGCGGCACUAGUUUCACCUUCUAGAGGUCAAAGCUAUCACCACAUCAAUCCGGCGAAUCCGGUGUGAAUGAAUCAAAUUCCUUGAGCAAUUGAGCAUUCCUAUAAAUUUCUUCAUUUCUUAUACCAGACGGAUACUUUCACAUCUCUACAAAAUGCCUAUCAAGUCAAUUAAAGCUCGCCAGAUCUUUGACUCCCGUGGCAACCCCACAGUAGAAGUUGACCUGGUGACUGAAUUGGGUCUGUUCCGAGCGGCCGUGCCCUCUGGUGCCUCCACUGGAGUCCACGAGGCUCUUGAGCUCAGAGACAAUGUCAAGGGUGAAUACCUGGGCAAGGGCGUGAAGACGGCCGUCAGCAACAUCAACAACAUCAUCGUCCCUGAGCUGCUGAAGCAAAACAUUGAGGUCACUGAACAGAAACAGAUUGACCAGUUCAUGCUGAAUUUGGAUGGCACUGAGAACAAGUCCAAGCUUGGCGCUAACGCCAUUCUCGGCGUUUCCCUCGCCGUCGCCAAGGCUGGCGCUGCCAAGAAGGGAGUGCCCCUCUACAAGCACUUGGCCGACUUGGCCGGAAACGCUGACAUCGUUCUGCCAGUGCCUGCCUUCAAUGUUAUCAACGGAGGCUCUCAUGCUGGCAACAAGCUUGCCAUGCAGGAAUUCAUGAUUCUUCCCACUGGUGCCACCUCAUUCACCGAGGCCAUGCGCAUGGGCUCCGAGGUGUACCACUUCCUGAAGAAGAUCAUCAAGGAGAAGUUCGGCCUGGACUCCACCGCCGUCGGUGACGAGGGUGGCUUCGCGCCCAACAUCCUCAACAACAAGGAUGCUCUCUUUCUCAUACAGGAUGCUAUCCAGCAGGCUGGAUACACUGGCAAGAUCGAGAUCGGCAUGGACGUUGCCGCGUCAGAAUUCUUCAAGAACAACAAGUACGAUCUCGACUUCAAGAACCCCAACUCCAACCCCGACGACUACCUGCCGUCCGGCAAGCUGGCGGACCUGUACCUUGAGUUCAUCAAGGACUUCCCCAUGGUGUCCAUCGAGGACCCCUUCGACCAGGACGACUGGGCGGCGUGGAGCGACCUCACCUCUCGCACUUCCAUCCAGAUUGUUGGAGAUGACUUGACCGUGACAAACCCCAAGCGCAUCGCGACAGCAGUGGAGAAGAAGGCGUGCAACUGCCUGCUGCUGAAGGUGAACCAGAUCGGCUCCGUCACCGAGUCCAUCGCCGCGCACCUGCUGGCCAAGGAGAACGGCUGGGGCACCAUGGUCUCCCACAGGUACACUACACCUACCACCUGAACCAGAUCGGCUCCGUCACCGAGUCCAUCGCCGCGCACCUGCUCGCCAAGGAGAACGGCUGGGGCACCAUGGUCUCCCACAGGUACACUACACCUACCACCUGAACCAGAUCGGCUCCGUCACCGAGUCCAUCGCCGCGCACCUGCUCGCCAAGGAGAACGGCUGGGGCACCAUGGUCUCCCACAGGUACACUACACCUACCACCUGAACCAGAUCGGCUCCGUCACCGAGUCCAUCGCCGCGCACCUGCUCGCCAAGGAGAACGGCUGGGGCACCAUGGUCUCCCACAGGUACACUACACCUACCACCUGAACCAGAUCGGCUCCGUCACCGAGUCCAUCGCCGCGCACCUGCUCGCCAAGGAGAACGGCUGGGGCACCAUGGUCUCCCACAGGUAUACUACACCUACCACCUGAACCAGGUCGGCUCCGUCACCGAGUCCAUCGCCGCGCACCUGCUCGCCAAGGAGAACGGCUGGGGCACCAUGGUCUCCCACAGGUACACUACACCUACCACCUGAACCAGAUCGGCUCCGUCACCGAGUCCAUCGCCGCGCACCUGCUCGCCAAGGAGAACGGCUGGGGCACCAUGGUCUCCCACAGGUAUACUACACCUACCACCUGAACCAGAUCGGCUCCGUCACCGAGUCCAUCGCCGCGCACCUGCUCGCCAAGGAGAACGGCUGGGGCACCAUGGUCUCCCACAGGUCCGGAGAAACCGAAGACACGUUUAUCGCCGACCUGGUGGUGGGCCUGUCCACCGGCCAGAUCAAGACGGGCGCGCCGUGCCGCUCCGAGCGCCUCGCCAAGUACAACCAGAUCCUGCGCAUCGAGGAGGAGCUCGGCGCCGCCGCCAAGUACGCUGGCAGGAACUUCCGCAGACCCGUCUAAACAUACAUUUGUAGGGCGUGUUCUGAUUGUGUUGAUCUCUGACCUAUUGUACUGUAUGUUCCGAUCUUAUGACUGAACAUCAGGAUAUGCCCGUACGCUCCAUACUGUUAAUGUAUGUCGUGAUUAAAGCAUCUUAUAGCCUAUAAUGUUAAUGGUGUAGUGUUGUUAAAGCACAAUAGUCAACAAUAUGAUUGCUUUUAUGAAAUUACUUUAUAAGAUGUUUUGAAGGCAGUAGUUGUCACUUAUUGAAUGUAUGAAUCUAUUUAUUUGAAUUAUAAGAUUUUACUGUAAGUAAAAAUGGGAAAUGAAUGUAAUAGCAUCCGAACAUUCGUAAAUACACUAUGUACGUUGUAA